CAUUAAAACACCAAUUCCCGUACGAUCACUGGAGUUAAGCAACGUCGAGCCAGGUCAGUACCUAUAUAGGUGACUGCUUGGGAAUACCAAGAGAUGUAAG